CUCAUAUUUUAAAUAAGAAUUAGAAAAAUGGGUAUAGUUUAGGGGUUCUAAUGCAUUUCUGUAAAUCUUUUUAGGGUUCUUCGCAUUUGUUGACACCCUCAAUGUGUGUUCUUUUUUGUGUCUUGUACCAAAUCCUAUUCUUUUUAAGUAUAUAAUCCUUAAAUUUAUUUAAUCCUAAACAGAGGACCAAUUUUGUUUUUCCCACUUCCUUUUCUCCCAUUGGAACAUCACUGUAAGGAAAACCCCACGAUCAUGGACAUAAAACAUUACUUAAGAACAUCAGGUAAAUAUCUUUCAUCCUUCCUUUGCCCCAUUCUCUUUUCUUCCCUUACGAACAAGAAACCUCAAGAUGGAGACCAAGAAAACGCAAAAUGUUGCAGCUGCACCUGAAACUAAUUAGGCUUUGCGUUUCCAUGAAUUCUUCAGAAAGGUAAAUUAUUUCCAAUUCGAUGGUAGAGUUUUUACUAUUUUCUUGCACUCAUGAUUUAUUAAAUAUUCUGAUUUUAAGAGAUUAAAAGCCAAAAAUAAUUUUAAAAAAAUGAGAAUUUAGUAAAGAAUUUAGAGGUAUGCAUGAUGAUUGGUGAUGAACCAGAGACAACCAUAAUAAGCUUCCAAUCAUCAGCUGCUCAAACUAAAUUUAGAAGCCAAAAUGCAAUGGGAUUAUGGGAAUGUUGGAGAUUAAGUGUACAAAAAAGUUAUACGGCUAUCUCGCAUACGCUUAAAAUGUUAAAACUUUUUAUUCAAGGAGAUAUAAAGAGACUACCUACAAGAGUUUUCAUACAAAGAGGUCUAAAUUGUGAUGAUAAAAUGCACUUAAGGUAUGUGAUGGAAAAAAUACAGCUCAAAGUAUCUAUGUGAUAAAACAUUGUAGCUGUAGGUAGUCUCUAGUAGUGACGUUUAGUUUUAGAUAAAGGCAAAGGUCCUGAAAUGCAAGUUUUUAGAGGUAGAAAUUAUUUGCCUAGCCAGAGAUCGUCCCAAAACUUGAUAAGAGAAAUGUUACCAAUAAUCCACUUAAGUCCAGACUGACAUAAUUAUAACUACCAUGAGAUACAUGGACACCUACAAUUUUGAGUGUUUUCUCCAGUCGACCAUGCCACACAUGACAUUACAUUAUAUAAUGUAAAAAAAUUCCUUUUGAGAUCUUUUUCUUUAUGCAAAAGUAACCAAAUAUUUUUACCAAAUUCAUAUAUAUAAAUUAUCAAAUAACUAUUAGAAUUGCAUCGCAAUAUAAUUUCUUAAUGAACCUAGCCCAUAUAUGCGUGGUUAAAGAGGUUAUUGUUGGGGGUACCGGACAUGGGCCAAGAGGAUUGUCUCCUUCCAUGAAGAAUUAUAAAUGGAAAAAGAAGUUAAGAAAAAAUAAUAUUUAUACGUUGUUUAGACAAAUUCUUAUCUUAUUGAUCGAAUUAGGGCGCAGAUGGUUAAUGCAGAAGUAGAAUAUAUUACAUAAAUAUUAUACUUUCUUUAGUUUUUAGAUAUAUAAAUAUGUUUGUUAUUUUAAUUUCUAUCCGUAAGUUGUGCUGCGAAGACAACACUUUACACUACCUCACUAUGUCUAACUUAUGAGAUAUUCUAUAAUAUGUUUCACAGACAAAACUUAGCUAACAUGAGAUAACUUAUUCCCUAUGGGCAACACUUUAUACUAACUCACUUUCUCUAACAUAUAAGAGAUUCUACAACUCAUGUCUUAUAGGCAAAAUUUAGUUCAGAUAUUUUGAAGCCACGACUUAUUUUCCAUCGGCAAUACUUCAUACUAUCGCACGGUGUAUAAUUUAUAAGAUACUUUAUGACUCUUGCCUCAAAGGUCAUACUUACCACAGUGACUUUAAAAUAACAAUUUAUGCUACCUCACUCCUGAUUUAUAGGCAAAGCAUCAAGGACUUUAAAUCCACAAUUUGUGUCCCGGUGAGCAACAAUUUACCCUACCACUGUGUCCAACUUAUGAGAUACUCUAUAACUCCUGCAUCAAAGGUAAAACUUAGCUCGAGGACUUUAAAACUACAACUUAUGCCCCAUGGGCAACAGUUUACGCUACUCACUGUGUAUAAGUGAAAAGCAAAUGUUACUUCACUCAAAAGGUUAAUUCCACGAUGACUUGAGAACAUGCAUCUCUUGGAAGUUUGAUUCAUAUUAAUCUUUUUCAGGAAUACUAAGGCAUCUUUGAAUUUGAAUCCUGUGUUUCUGACUGAGCGGAUCAGUUCGUAAUUUUCUAGUUAAUUUCUAACACUGCUUCUAUAUUAUUUUCUUCGUUGAUGGUGAUGAUCACCUUGUAAUUCGUCAAUUCACUUAAAAGAGCAAACGGAAAAAGUGAUUUGAGAAAACUAAUGUACUUCACAGGAGAAUCUAUGAUGAUCAACAAUGCCAAUUAUUUUUCAAGUGAUUAAAAUUAGAGUUUGAUAAUAUCUUUUUCUUCUCAAUAUUUCUUUCCUUCCCCUCAUUUUUAGGAGGAUCAACAUCAUCCUCCUCACUAACACUUCAUAUGACUUGAACCUGAACUUCAACCUAUCGAUCGAUUGGUGAUAAAUGUGAUUUACCAUUAGAACAAAUUCCACUUGUCUGAUCUCUUCUAUUUAUUAAGUGAUUAUUCAGCUUGAA